rnacentral:rRNA from 1 species
CUUUUCUCGUUAGUUUUUGAAGUAUGGCCUGCCCGCUGACUUUAGUGUUGAAGGGCCGCGGUAUUUUGACCGUGCAAAGGUAGCAUAGUCAUUAGUUCUUUAAUUGUGAUCUGGUAUGAAUGGCUUGACGAGGCAUGGGCUGUCUUAAUUUUUAAUUGUUUAUUGAAUUUGGUCUUUGAGUUAAAAUUCUUAGAUGUUUUUAUGGGACGAGAAGACCCUAUAGAGUUUAACAUUUGUUAUGGUCCCCUUUCUGUUUGUGAGGGUUCAUUGGGCCGUUUAAUAUGUUUUGUUGGGGUGAUGGGAGGGAUUAAUUUAACCCCUCCUUUUUAUUAUUAUAUUUAUUUAUAUUUACUUGAUCC